rnacentral:rRNA from 1 species
UACAGAGGUCUCAAGCGUUGUUCGGAUUCAUUGGGCGUAAAGGGUGCGUAGGUGGCGCGCUAAGUCAGGUGUGAAAUUUCGGAGCUUAACUCCGAAACUGCAUUUGAUACUGGCGUGCUUGAGGACUGGAGAGGAGACUGGAAUUCACGGUGUAGCAGUGAAAUGCGUAGAGAUCGUGAGGAAGACCAGUGGCGAAGGCGGGUCUCUGGACAGUUCCUGACACUGAGGCAGCGAAGGCCAGGGGAGCAAACGGG